UACGGGGGGGGCAAGCGUUGUUCGGAAUUACUGGGCGUAAAGCGCGCGUAGGCGGCUUUUCAAGUCAGACGUGAAAGCCCCAGGCUUAACCUGGGAAUUGCGUUUGAUACUGUUAAGCUAGAGUGUGGAAGGGCUACUGGAAUUCCGUGUGUAGCGGUGAAAUGCGUAGAUAUAACGGAGGAACACCAGCGGCGAAGGCGGGAUGAGCUGGGCCAACACUGACGCUGAUGCGCGAAAGCUAGGGUAGCAAACGGG
rnacentral:rRNA from 1 species